rnacentral:rRNA from 1 species
AUUAAACGCUGGCGGCAUGCCUUACACAUGCAAGUCGAACGGCAGCACGGGGGCAACCCUGGUGGCGAGUGGCGGACGGGUGAGUAAAGCAUCGGAACGUAUCCUGGAGUGGGGGAUAACGUAGCGAAAGUUACGCUAAUACCGCAUAUUCUGUGAGCAGGAAAGCAGGGGAUCGCAAGACCUUGCGCUCUGGGAGCGGCCGAUGUCGGAUUAGCUAGUUGGUGGGGUAAAGGCCUACCAAGGCGACGAUCCGUAGCGGGUCUGAGAGGAUGAUCCGCCACACUGGGACUGAGACACGGCCCAGACUCCUACGGGAGGCAGCAGUGGGGAAUUUUGGACAAUGGGCGGAAGCCUGAUCCAGCCAUGCCGCGUGAGUGAAGAAGGCCUGUGU